rnacentral:rRNA from 1 species
GACGAACGCUGGCGGCGUGCUUAACACAUGCAAGUCGAGCGGUAAGGCCCUUUCGGGGGUACGACGAGCGGCGAACGGGUGAGUAACACGUGGGUGACCUGCCCUCAGCUCUGGGAUAAGCCCGGGAAACUGGGUCUAAUACCGGAUAUGACUUCAUGACGCAUGUUGUGGAGUGGAAAGCCUCGUGCGGCUGAGGAUGGGCCCGCGGCCUAUCAGCUUGUUGGUGGGGUGANGGCCUACCAAGGCGACGACGGGUAGCCGGCCUGAGAGGGCGACCGGCCACACUGGGACUGAGAUACGGCCCAGACUCCUACGGGAGGCAGCAGUGGGGAAUCUUGCGCAAUGGGCGAAAGCCUGACGCAGCGACGCCGCGUGAGGGAU